rnacentral:rRNA from 1 species
AACAAACGCUGGCGGCGUGUCUUAAGCAUGCAAGUUGAGCGGCAAGGAGGAGAGAUCCUCCCUAGAGCAGCGGACUGGUGAGUAACGCGUGGGUAAUCUAUCUUAGGCAUGGGGAUAGUCACUAGAAAUAGUGGGUAAUACCGAAUAAGUUCCAUAAGGGGAGGACUUAUGGAAGAAAGGUGCUACGGCACUGGCCUUAGGUGAGCUCGCGUCCCAUUAGCUAGUUGGUGAGGUAAAGGCCCACCAAGGCGAUGAUGGGUAGCCGGCCUGAGAGGGUGUACGGCCACACUGGGACUGAGACACGGCCCAGACUCCUACGGGAGGCAGCAGCUAAGAAUAUUCCGCAAUGGACGGAAGUCUGACGGAGCGACGCCGCGUGGAUGAAGAAGGCCGAAAGGUUGUAAAGUUCUUUUGCUAGGGGAGAAUAAGUUGGGAGGGAAUGCCUGCACGAUGACAAGGACUAGCGAAUAAGUCCCGGCCAACUACGUGCCAGCAGCCG